rnacentral:misc_RNA from 1 species
GCAAACUUGGUCAUUUAGAGGAAGUAAAAGUCGUAACAAGGUUUCCGUAGGUGAACCUGCGGAAGGAUCAUUACAGAAUUGUUCGUUUCUCAAUUUUACGGGCAUUCUAAAUCCGUAUCCCUUCCGGCAGGGUUUUUUUAACAUCCCGAUUCUUUUAUCUACAAGGUAAAGGAAAAGGGAGAUAAGAAAAGCUCUUGCCGUAGGGCGCUUCUUUUUCUCUCUAAGAGAUUGGAGAGGGAAGGGAGCGUCUGUCUGACCCUUGCCUUAAAAUUUUAUUUUGUCUGAAAAUUUAAUUAAAUAAUAAUAUUUAAAACAACUUUCAACAACGGAUCUCUUGGCUCUCGCAUCGAUGAAGAACGCAGC